CCCCGCCGCGCUGACCUCAUCCAGCCACGCAGCCCCGCGCCCCCAUUGGCGGGGCGUCACGUCCGGGGGGGCGGGGCUUCCGCUGCACCCAUUCAUAAGCCGCCGCCGGGCGGGGGGCGCCGCCGUGUCGCCGCCGCGGGGACGGGCGGAGGGGUCGUGGGAGUGGUGGUCCUCAUCCGGGUACCGCGGUGGGUUUGCUGCGCUCCUCCGGGCUGAGGUUGCUGUGGGGCUCGGCCUGGCCUCUCCUGGUGGAGUGGGGACUUUCGCAGCCCUGCCCGGUUCACCCUGCUCCGGGGGUCGGCUCAGGCCUGGUCGGGGCUGACCCAGCCUCGCCGUGCCCGCUGCUGCUGCCGCCCCCUGCCGAGCCUGCACCGCCGUGUUGCUUCGCCCUGGGGCUGGGAGUGGGCGCUAGGAGCGGACCCAAAAAUAGGGGAGAAAUAUUUAAAAAUAAAUCCGAAAAGAACAAGUCUGGCCGGGGAGCGGUUGUCCCAGGGCCACUGGGUGUGCGGUGCUAGGCUGCGCCCGGAGCCCGCCCUGCCCUCUGCUGCUGCCAUGCUUAGCACAAGCGGACAUCCAGAUGCCUCAGCUGCAGGGAGCUGCCUGAGCAACUGAACAUCCCUCCAGCUAUGUGGUUGUGCCUCAUCUCCUCUGCUCCUUGGCACCUGGUUCUGUGACUGGAAGCCCGGUGUGCUGGGAAAGCCUUGUUCUCCCGCAGGCAAAUCCCUCUGUGACAAACCCCAGGGCAGGGCUGUGGGGAUGGGGCAGGAGCCCGGCGAGCAGCCCAGCUUGCUGCAGCCUUGCCCGUGGAUGGGCAGCUCUGUGAGGGGCGAUUGCCUCUUAGGUGGAUGUAAGUGCCUCAGUCAUGUGAGUUCAGCCACCAAGCAUGAUGGAGGAUGCCAGGGACCCCAUGCUCUUCCAUGCCCCCGGGGCUCCUGUCAUGUCUUCUUGUCUCCCUCCGCUUCUGUGAUGCUGAGAAGAAAAGUGUGGAGGCACUGUGCCUCCUCGCCUGCCAUGGAGAGUGUGUUGCUGGCAGUGAGUGGGGUUGGGUCUGCAGCUGGAGCUGAGAGGAGACAUUCCCUUCCAAAAUAAUUCCUUCAUAGGGAGGACUGCUGAAGGAAGGAGGCUGGGGUUUGAGGCAGAAGAAAGGAGUGAGAAUGGUAAGAAAAUGUCAUGUUCCUGGAGUAAGGCGUUAUGGAUUGCUGGCAGAGAUUUGGGUCUGGGGGCAGAAAUUUUCACCUAGGACGUGAUAGCGAGGAAGCAGGAUUAAAUAUUAAUGUGCUAAUUAACCCUGUAAGCCUUCCUUGCAACAUUUGUCACAGCUCGCAUGCUGAAACUGGGAUGCUGCUGAAGAAAAAGAGGUCAGCUUCUUGAAAGGUGAACUCGGGCUGCUCACAGAGGCACCUUCUGUCAAGUGCAGGAAGAUGGAAUCCCAUUACUGUCUGCAAAUUAAGCCUCUGGGGACCUGUUUCAAACAGAAAGCAGCCUGCGAGCUGUGCUGUCUGUGCCAAGGACUGUUGCAAGCAGAUUUUGAGGAUCGGGUGCCGGCCAUCCCAUGGCAUGGAGGAGCUCCUUGCCGCCACGGGAAGGACACAAAAGUCACUGGGCUUCCUGGGGAGCUGUGCCACGCUGGAGGUGCCGAAGCCAUUACCAGCUUCACAAUAAGGACUUAAGCUUUAAAAUAGCUGGAUCUGGACACAGGCAGUAAUGAUGUCAUUUUACAACACAGGGAUAUAAACCUCCGUGGAUUGCUGCUGCCCUACCUGUGCCACAUGAUUGCUGCGAGUGGGCCUGGAUGGCGUGGCACUGGGCGUGAUGCAGCUGGGGAGAUGUGUGUGCGUCCCUAAUGGGGCCGUAACGCUGUUGCGAUCGGUGCUAUUUCUGAAGGCCGCCUUUACCAGCCAACCGUUAGCCACUGUUUGUUACUGCUGUGGGCUGACAGGACCAGCAGGCCUGGCUGCGGCCUGCAAAGAGCUGCAAGCCCUUCUGACCCUGGUCCUUCACCCUUUGCACUCUUCCAUGUAAUUCAUGUCUUCACAUGGCUGGCGGUUGUCCGGGAGUCUGUCCAAGCCCUCAAACCAGAGGCCAGGAGUGGGAAUAGGUUUUCUCUUUCUGUCUGUGCCUCUUAAUACCUGUCCAAUCUUCACUAGUCACCCGGAGCCAGUUUAAAGAGGUGGAUCAGAGUGGACUCUUUUGGGUCUUCCUUCUGGCGAACAGCUGCAUGCUGUGGUGCUACCAGAUCGUAAUUGCACAGAGUUCCCUGCUUAGCCACCACCUGACUGGUUGACCAUGAAGCCCACGGUACCUUCCACCUUCCUUAUGUAAAAAUUCCUUACUGCUUUGCACACUUGGAUGCACCUUUCCUGGACCUGCUGAGUAAUGUCUCUGACUGACCCAAUGGACAUUUGAUGUUCCUCCAUCUACUUUGCCUCUAGGGUUCAAUCUUGGGCCUCGAGAAAUAUUUCUUGGAUUGAAAUCCACAUAAAAACAUAAGAAGAAAUGCUGUCACGCUCUCAUCUCUAACUAACAUCUUUAUUUUUUAAUCCAGUAACUGUACUUAAAGUGUUUGCCUAUGUAAGAGAUCAGGAAUGACCCCCAUGGCACUGCCCUACUGAAACUGCUUUGCUGUGGCUCCUUGUGAGUAUCUCAGCAGGAUUUGAGCACCUUCAUUACUUGAGCAUCCUCUAGUUUCCUGCAUUUUAGUUCACUUGCCAACGCAUGCAUCAUUUUUCACCAAGCUGACACUGGAGGAGCCACUUCAGGCUAAUGCCCUGGCUUCAGGACCCCUGUUAUACCUACUGCAGUGCCAUGAAUGUGCCUGGGGUCUAAUUCAGUUGGGACCACAGUGAGCCUCCGGCAGGAAAAUGCUCCCAUACCUCAGGGAGGAUGCUUCAGUGCUUCUCCCUGGCCACGGCAAGCCAAGCAUCUAGGCGUGUUACUCCUCCAUGCCUUACUGCCCCAUGAUAAGUACCUAGAUACUACACCUCUUAGUAAAUUUAACUCUCUGUGAGGUUGUAGACUUGCUCAAGUACCCAGCUCUCACUGGUCUGACCUGCCUUCCUUUUUUUUUUUUCUUUUUUUCCACCUUUAGGAGUGCUGAGCUUUGUCUCAGGCUUGGUGAAGCCGUGGGGAGCCCCACCUGGGCUAAUUGUGCCAUUAGGCUGUCUGCGGGCCUCGCGUUUCCUGCUGAGAGGGGCUGAUGGUGCUUCCCUGGCUGACAGGACACCAUGAGUGAUUUAUCGCUGCUGUCGAGUGUGUUGUGAUCCUUGGAAGAAAAGCAGCAUCAGAGUACAGAGCAGCUGAGAUACUUGGAAAGUCUCUGUGAUAGGCAUGCAUGCCGUUAAGCUGUGUCACCCAUUGCUUAAUUAGCUCCGACUGCCAGCCUCUGUGGCAUGGACGCGCUUCUCCGUGACCAAGUGCAGCCAGGAUUCCCAAAGAGCUGAACAAAACUUUACAAGGGCCUGGAGUCCUGGGCUAGAUCUGCACGAGGAGCCUGAAUGAAAGCAGCAUGGUUCGCACGGAUGCUGAGCACCCACAGAUCCCACUUUGGGUGAGGGAGCACCCGCUGGCUGCACUCUUUGAAGAGGUGCCUGGGCCAUGCAGACCAGCCUUGGGCUACAGCAUGGUUCUUUGUAGAAUCUAGAAUCUGGUGAGUUGGAAUUGACCCUGAAAGGCCAUCUAGUCCAACUCGAAUGCAAUGAACAGGGACACCUACAGCUCCACCAGGGUGCUGAGAGCCCUGUCCUGCCUGACCCUGCACAUCUCCAGGAAUGGAGCAUCCACCACCUCUCUGGACAACCCAUUCCAGUGCCUCACCACCCUGUAAAAUUGACUGUAAAAAACCUUUUCCUUAUAUCCAGUCUAAAUCUCCCCUCUUGUAGUUUGAAACCAUUUCCCCCUGUCAUAUCACAGCAGACCCUGCUAAAGAGUCUGUCUCCCUUUCUUUGCUCAGCUUUUGGAAGAGGCAGGGACCAGUUCCAUGACCCACCUUUUCCCAGUGCCCAUAACUUCCUCCUGCACCAGCCCAGGGCUCCAGCUGGGGACUGCCAGUGUCCACAGGACCUGGCGGCUAUGGCUCAUCCCCCCCUUGUACAGAGCAGAAAUGCAGAGGAAGCACAACACAAUGAUGGGCCAUCAACACGCAGUGAGUCUCUGGUGGCUCUCAGAGAGCCCUGUGCCCAGCGGGAGCACAGCCAGGUGUCACAGCAAAGCCGAACAAAAGUUUGGGCCGCUGCUGAGUCAGUUCUGAAGCUGGCAAUGUGUGGUGUGUUCGUGCACCACUUUUUUUCCCUUUGGUGCAAACAUGGGUGGCAAUCUGAUUAGCUUAUGAUUCACCAUCUGGCUAAUGUCCCUCCUUCCCCCAGUCCCCACCUGUUCAGAUAACUACUACGGUAGUGUAGGCUGUUGACUUGAAAUAACUUUUCCAACCCCUUUUGUAAAUGAGCUCUGGCAACUGCUCUAACCCUCGUCCAUGGGCAGAGGUUGUAAUAAUUUAACUUCAAUGCCAUUGAAAACAACUCGGCCUGAUGCAAAACUCCAUGUGAGCAUCUAAGAGGAAGCAAGUUCACCUGGAGCUGCUACUCCUUGACCAAGGCUAGGGACAGAGGUGCUGCUUCGGGAGGGCUGGGUCUUCAACCCAAGCCAACUUCGGCUGCCUUUUGUUGCCUUUGCUCCUUCCAAAGGCUGUCACCUCCCCAGCACUGCCACACAGGGACAUUGCCAGCCCUGGGGACACGGCUGAGCCUGGCAAAGCUGCCCAAAAGCAGUGAGCACCCCAGGUGGGUCAGGGCUGGUUGCCUAUGCUCAGUUGUGCUGAGAUCAGCAACUGUGAGCCCACCUUUGGUCCUCCAGCCCCACGCCACUGCUCAUCCUUUCUGUUAAGUCAACAUCAGUGAGUUGCCCCCAUGGUCCCCAUGGGCCCUUUGCACCCAUUUAAACAGAUCAAUAGGGCUCAGGGCAAGUUCACAAAAGACCUAAAUUAUGUAAGCAAUGCAGUGCAAGAAAAAAACGGGGGCGGGAGGAAGGAACGCUGGUGCAAGGAACUCACCAAAGGAAUGGUUUAUUUAGAAUGAUAGAAUAGAAUCAGAAAAUCAUUAAGGCUGAAAAAGACCUCUAGAAUCAUUUAGUCUAACCAUCAGCUUGUCACCACCGUUUCCACUAAGCUAUGUCCCUCAGUGCCACAUUUAUUCCCAAACUGAGCAACAUAUUGCAAGAGGAAGGUUACAGUUUUGAGGCUCUCAUGACAGAUGCAUGCCAACCUCUAUGCUUACGCCCUUGAGAAGACCAUUAGGUGACCCAACCCUACCCCUAACCCUGUGCUGUGAGGAAUACAUGGCCUCCAGAGACCACGGCGAGAGGAGCAGCUGCGGUCAGGAACCUGCGUUAGCACCAGGGGAGGUGGGUGCUUUGCCCGUGGGUGAAGGCAGUAGGUUUGCCAGGGAAGUGCCUCUCCAUAGACGGGUGCUGAUUUCACCCCUGGCAAACAGCAUUAAUAUAAUACAUCAAAGCUGGGUACCUUAAUAGGAAACCAAGGGAAAGGAUUUGCUAUACAUGCUAGCUACUUUUCAAAUGCAAAUGUCUGUCUUAAAUCAGAUUAAGACAGAAGGAAGCCUAGAGAAUGCCAAUAAUUAAUAUGCGAUAAAGGAAUAAACAUCCAGAGCAUCAAAAGGUAAAAUGCAAUCACAGAGAUAAAGGUGCCCCGGCUGCUCUGUGCCAGCUCACUGCUGCAUGGGGUGGGCAGGCAUGAGACCCAUUCUCAUCUGCAGGGGCAGAGGGAGAUCACCAGCCCUGAGCGGCUGCUGCUGCUGCUGUGCUCCAUCCCUCUUCUGCUUUGGGGGAGCAAGAAGGAGCCACUAGGUGAAGCAGGGAAGUGGGAGCUGCCCAAGGUGCGAGCAGUGCUGCUGCAGCCUGGAGCUGCCUCUGUAUUGCUGGGCUUGGCCGGGUGGGAGGACCCAGCAGGGAAUAUCUGGCUCCUGCAGCUCCAAUGGAGUAGGAGAGAUGGCAGUGGGUGCCAGCACCUCUGACUAUCUCAGUGUUGAGGAUCCCUCCCGGCCACUGUUGUUGGCUGAUCUCGGAAAUGUUUUGCAUCAUUCCUUUGCCUCAGCCUCAGAUGAGGAGCAGACUUGGUGUUCCCUGUUCCCCUCUUUCCCCAGACUUGUGUGUUUGGUUAUGGGCACGGGUGUAUCUCACCUAUCUUGAAUCUGAAGACUACAGAUUAGAAAUGGAAGGGAGAAAGCUAGUGGGCUCUACUCCCCUUUCCUAUUCCUUACAACUCACUAGGGCUGGCAUUGGACCCCUGUGAGUUCCCUGUGGUUGCCCUUCCUUCUUCUACUGAUGCUGAAUAAGCAGUGCUUCCUCUGGCUUUAUGGAGCUUGUGUAAGGCAGCCAACUUCAGCCGUCUUUUGUUGCCUAUUGAUUGCACCAGAGAUUGCACCAGAGAUGAGGGCACUGGCAGCCUGUGCGUGUGGGACGUGAGCUGCCCUGAUGGCAGGUAACAUUGCUGUUAAUGUUUGAAAGCUCCAAUGCCCAGUCUGUGUGCUGGUCCCUAGAACUGGAGGGUGCGUAUCGUACCAAGCUGCUCUUUAUUUUUAACCCCAGAUACCAGGAAGUAAGCGGCAUUUAUUUCCAGGCCUCUUAGGAGAUCUAUUGCUGACAAAGGUUCCCAAUCUGCCUCCAGAUCAGAAUAGAACUUAAAAAUCAAAUGGCUAAAUACUGAACAUCAGGAUACACUGGGUUCCUCGCAUGAUUUGUGAUCAUCUCCCUGUGUACAAAAGACUCUUGCUGGCCCCUCGAAGCACAGGAACACACUCUGCUAAAAUAAACUGCAAAAAUUAUGCAAUUCCCACACA